GUCCCAGUUCAGAUCGCAGUCUGCAACCCGACUGCGUGAAGUCGGAAUCGCUAGUAAUCGCGGAUCAGCAUGCCGCGGUGAAUACGUUCCCGGGCCUUGUACACACCGCCCGUCACACCAUGAGAGUCGGGAACACCCGAAGUCCGUAGCCUAACCGCAAGGGGGGCGCGGCCGAAGGUGGGUUCGAUAAUUGGGGUGAAGUCGUAACAAGGUAUC
rnacentral:rRNA from 1 species